rnacentral:rRNA from 1 species
AAACGCUUGAAGUCAGUCGCGUUUGCUAGAGAUCAACCUUGCUUUUGCUGGGCGUACUCUCUAGCUGACGGGCCAGCAUCAGUUUUGACCAUUGGAAAAGGGCAGAGGGAAUGUGGCAUCUCCGGAUGUGUUAUAGCCUUCUGUCGUAUACAGUGGUUGGGACUGAGGAACUCAGCACGCCGCAAGGCGGGGAUUCGUCCACCUUCGUGCUUAGGAUGCUGGCAUAAUGGCUUUAAUCGA